AAAUGGAAUGAAAAUGAAGCACACCAACGUGGCUGCAGCCUUCCCAAUAUGAAGAAAUAACAAUCAGAAAUGCUCACUCUAAUGCAGAUGUCUGGUUACGACACUGUGUGGGGCUAGAACAAGGUGAUGGAGGAUCUCUCUGUAUGGGUCUAGCUCACCUGUAGCUCACCCUCCUAUCUCAACUUUCUGAGUGCUAGGAUUACAGGCUUAGUCCAGCUGUUACUAAAUCAUAAUGGAAGAGGAAUGCAUACUAUUUCCAAGAGGGGGAAAAUUCCUCACUAACCGACUAGCACUUUUCAUUCUAAGUUCUGCAAAUUACUUCCCACGGUUUCCCUAGUGGCUGUCAGCUAACACUCAAGUUGUGGCCUGAAACACAUAAGCAAGACCUGAGCACAGUGUCACCUGUGGCCUGCAGAUCACUUGGCAGUGUGUGGGGACCGCCCCUGAAAACAGCAACACCUUUAUUCAAGGAGCAGCAGCGCACUUGCAUUGGUGACAAUGGCAAGGCCGGGAACUUGAGAUGAAUGGGGACCAUUCAUCUUCUCAAUGAACAGGAAAGUAAACAGAAAUGAGGCAGCUCCGUUUGACUAUGCCCAAGCCAACCUGCAAGGACACUCGUGACAAGCAUGCUCAGUACACUAAAAGUAAUAAAAAAAAAAUUCAAACAAACGAACAACAGUAGAGUCGGAAAAGGAGGGAGGCUCAUGGGGAAAAGGAACUUACUCAUGAAGCCGGACCAGGCUGCCAUGAGAUACGAAGGUUUCUCAGCACCUACAGUCUGUUACCUGGCAGGACUUUGUUUGUGACAACAGAGGACCUUAGAACUUCUUUCGAAGGCCACAUGAUUCAGCCCAAAUCAUGUAAUUCCACUGAACAUUUCAAUUCCAGGGGUUGGGACCCCCGCCUUCCCCGUAAAAAGCACAUUCUAAUGCAGC